GUUGUAUAGUCAAGUAAUUAAGUGCAUGUGGUGGAUGCCUUGGCAGUCAGAGGCGAUGAAAGACGUGAUAGCCUGCGAAAAGCUCCGGGGAGGCGGCAAAUAUCCUUUGAUCCGGAGAUGUCUGAAUGGGGGAACCCACCUACUUUAAGGUAGGUAUUGCAACAUGAAUACAUAGUGUUGCAAGGCGAACGAGGGGAAGUGAAACAUCUCAGUACCCUUAGGAAAAGAAAUCAAUUGAGAUUCCCUCAGUAGCGGCGAGCGAACGGGGAUCAGCCCAUUAAGUUAUGUGUGUUUUAGUGGAACGCUCUGGGAAGUGCGAACGUAGAGGGUGAUAUUCCCGUACACGAAAGGGCACACAUAAUGAUGACGAGUAGGGCGAGGCACGUGAAACCUUGUCUGAAUAUGGGGGGACCAUCCUCCAAGGCUAAAUACUCCUGACUGACCGAUAGUGAACCAGUACCGUGAGGGAAAGGCGAAAAGAACCCCUGUGAGGGGAGUGAAAUAGAUCCUGAAACCGCAUGCAUACAAGCAGUGGGAGCACCUUCGUGGUGUGACUGCGUACCUUUUGUAUAAUGGGUCAGCGACUUAUAUUCAGUAGCGAGGUUAACCGUAUAGGGGAGCCGUAGAGAAAUCGAGUCUUAAUAGGGCGUUUAGUUGCUGGGUAUAGACCCGAAACCAGGCGAUCUAUCCAUGAGCAGGUUGAAGGUUGGGUAACACUAACUGGAGGACCGAACCCACUGUCGUUGAAAAGCCAGGGGAUGACUUGUGGAUAGGGGUGAAAGGCUAAUCAAGCCUGGUGAUAGCUGGUUCUCCCCGAAAGCUAUUUAGGUAGCGCCUCGGACGAAUACCAUAGGGGGUAGAGCACUGUUUCGGCUAGGGGGUCAUCCCGACUUACCAAACCGAUGCAAACUCCGAAUACCUAUGAGUACUAUCCGGGAGACAGACUGCGGGUGCUAACGUCCGUAGUCAAGAGGAAAACAAUCCAGACCGCCAGCUAAGGCCCCAAAAUCAUAGUUAAGUGGGAAACGAUGUGGGAAGGCAUAGACAGCUAGGAGGUUGGCUUAGAAGCAGCCACCCUUUAAAGAAAGCGUAAUAGCUCACUAGUCGAGUCGGCCUGCGCGGAAGAUGUAACGGGGCUAAAACUAUGUGCCGAAGCUGCGGAUGUAUACUUUGUAUACGUGGUAGGGGAGCGUUCUGUAAGCCGAUGAAGGUGUGUUGAGAAGCAUGCUGGAGGUAUCAGAAGUGCGAAUGCUGACGUGAGUAACGACAAAACGGGUGAAAAACCCGUUCGCCGAAAGACCAAGGGUUCCAGUCCAACGUUAAUCGGGGCUGGGUGAGUCGACCCCUAAGGCGAGGCCGAAAGGCGUAGUCGAUGGGAAAAUGGUUAAUAUUCCAUUACUUCUGUGUAAUGCGAUGAGAGGACGGAGAAGGCUAAAUCAGCCUGGCGUUGGUUGUCCAGGUGAAAGGAUGUAGGCAUGUAUCUUAGGCAAAUCCGGGGUACUCUAUGCUGAGAUCUGAUAGCAAGCUGUACU
rnacentral:rRNA from 1 species